GACAGAGGGUGCAAACGUUGCUCGGAAUCAUCGUGGGCGUAAAGGGCGUCGUAGGCGGCCUGUUAAGUCGAACGUGAAAAUCCCCGGGCUCAACCCGGGAACUGCGUCCGAUACUGGCAGGCUUGAAAUUCGGGAGAGGGGAUGGCGGAAAUUUCCAGGUGUAGCGGUGAAAAUGCGUAGAUAUCUGGAGGAACACCGGAUGGCGAAGGCGGCAUCCUGG
rnacentral:rRNA from 1 species